GUCCCCGUAGCGCAAUGGAUAGCGUGCCGGCCUCCGAAGCCGUCGGUGUGGGUUCGAAUCCCACCGGGGACACC
rnacentral:tRNA from 1 species